UGGGGGAUAUUGCACAAUGGGCGAAAGCCUGAUGCAGCGACGCCGCGUGGGGGAUGAAGGCCUUCGGGUUGUAAACUUCUUUUGCUCUGAACAAGGCAUGCCUUUGGGGUGUGUUGAGUGUAGGGGUUGAUUAGCGCCGGCUAACUACGUGCCAGCAGCCGCGGUAAUACGUAGGGCGCGAGCGUUGUCCGGAAUUAUUGGGCGUAAAGGGCUUGUAGGUGGCUGGUUGCGUCUGUCGUGAAAGCUCAUGGCUUAACUGUGGGUUUGCGGUGGGUACGGGCUGGCUUGAGUGCAGUAGGGGGGGCUGGAAUUCCUGGUGUAGCGGUGGAAUGCGCAGAUUUCAGGAGGAAUACCGGUGGCGAAGGCGAGUCUCUGGGCUGUUACUGACGCUGAGGAGCGAAAGCGUGGGGAGCGAACAGG
rnacentral:rRNA from 1 species